UACGUAGGGUGCAAGCGUUGUCCGGAAUUAUUGGGCGUAAAGAGCUUGUAGGCGGUUUGUCGCGUCUGCUGUGAAAUUUCGGGGCUCAACCCCGAACUUGCAGUGGGUACGGGCAGACUAGAGUGUGGUAGGGGAGACUGGAAUUCCUGGUGUAGCGGUGAAAUGCGCAGAUAUCAGGAGGAACACCGAUGGCGAAGGCAGGUCUCUGGGCCAUACUGACGCUG
rnacentral:rRNA from 1 species